GCACUCUGACCAGCCAUGCCGCGUGCAGGAAGACUGCCCUAUGGGUUGUAAACUGCUUUUAUCCGGGAAUAAACCACAAUACGUGUAUUGUGCUGAAUGUACCGGAAGAAUAAGGAUCGGCUAACUCCGUGCCAGCAGCCGCGGUAAUACGGAGGAUCCAAGCGUUAUCCGGAUUUAUUGGGUUUAAAGGGUGCGUAGGCGGCCUGUUAAGUCAGGGGUGAAAGACGGUAGCUCAACUAUCGCAGUGCCUUUGAUACUGAUGGGCUUGAAUGAACUAGAGGUAGGCGGAAUGAGACAAGUAGCGGUGAAAUGCAUAGAUAUGUCUCAGAACACCGAUUGCGAAGGCAGCUUACUAUGGUUUAAUUGACGCUGAGGCACGAAAGCGUGGGGAUCAAACAGGAUUAGAUACCCUGGUAGUCCACGCCCUAAACGAUGAACACUCGCUGUUGGCGAUACACAGUCAGCGGCUAAGCGAAAGCGUUAAGUGUUCCACCUGGGGAGUACGGUCGCAAGAUUGAAACUCAAAGGAAUUGACGGGGGCCCGCACAAGCGGAGGAGCAUGUGGUUUAAUUCGAUGAUACGCGAGGAACCUUACCCGGGCUUGAAAGUUAGUGAAUCAUUUAGAGAUAAAUGAGUG
rnacentral:rRNA from 2 species